GCAAGUCGAACGAGGUCUUCGGACCUAGUGGCGCACGGGUGAGUAACAUGUGGGAAUCUACCUGAAGGUUCGGAAUAACUGCGGGAAACUGUAGCUAAUACCGGAUGUGUCUGCAAAGAGAAAGAUUUAUCGCCUUCAGAUGAGCCCGCACUAGAUUAGCUAGUUGGUGAGGUAAUUGCUCCACCGAGGCUACGAUCUAUAGCUGAUUUGAGAGGAUAAUCAGCCACACUGGGACUGAGACACGGCCCAGACUCCUACGGGAGGCAGCAGUAGGGAAUAUUGGACAAUGGGGGAAACCCUGAUCCAGCAAUGCCGCGUGAGUGAAGAAGGCCUUCGGGUUGUAAAGCUCUUUCAUAAAUGAUGAUAAUGACAUUAGUUUAAGAAGAAGCCCCGGCUAACUUCGUGCCAGCAGCCGCGGUAAUACGAAGGGGGCUAGCGUUGUUCGGAAUCACUGGGCGUAAAGCGUAUGUAGGCGGAUCAAAAAGUUAGAUGUGAAAUCCCUGGGCUCAACCCAGGAACUGCAUUUAAAACUAGUGAUCUAGAAUUUGGUAGGGGUUAGUAGAAUUUCCAGUGUAGAGGUGAAAUUCGUAGAUAUUGGAAAGAAUACCAGUGGCGAAGGCGACUAACUGGGCCAUUUUUGACGCUAAGAUACGAAAGCGUGGGUAGCAAACAGGAUUAGAUACUCUGGUAGUCCACGCAGUAAACGAUGAGUGCUAGUCGCUGGGACAAUAGUUUCAGUGUCGAAGCUAACGCAUUAAGCACUCCGCCUGGGAAGUACGGUCGCAAGAUUAAAACUCAAAUAAAUUGACGGGGGCCCGCACAAGCGGUGGAGCAUGUGGUUUAA
rnacentral:rRNA from 1 species